rnacentral:rRNA from 1 species
GCACUCUGAGAGCUAUGCCGCGUGCAGGAUGACUGCCCUAUGGGUUGUAAACUGCUUUUAUACAGGAAGAAACGGUGGUACGUGUACAACCUUGACGGUACUGUAAGAAUAAGGACCGGCUAACUCCGUGCCAGCAGCCGCGGUAAUACGGAGGGUCCAAGCGUUAUCCGGAAUCAUUGGGUUUAAAGGGUCCGCAGGCGGUCAAUUAAGUCAGAGGUGAAAGCCCAUCGCUCAACGAUGGAACUGCCUUUGAUACUGGUUGACUUGAAUUAUACGGAAGUAGAUAGAAUAAGUAGUGUACCGGUGAAAUGCAUAUAAUUACUUAGAAUACCGAUUG